rnacentral:rRNA from 1 species
AUUGAACGCUGGCGGCAUGCCUUACACAUGCAAGUCGAACGGCAGCACGGGGCAACCUGGUGGCGAGUGGCGAACGGGUGAGUAAUGCAUCGGAACGUACCUUUCAGUGGGGGAUAACGUAGCGAAAGUUACGCUAAUACCGCAUAUUCUGUGAGCAGGAAAGCAGGGGAUCGCAAGACCUUGCGCUGAUUGAGCGGCCGAUGUCAGAUUAGCUAGUUGGUGAGGUAAAGGCUCACCAAGGCGACGAUCUGUAGCGGGUCUGAGAGGAUGAUCGGCAACACUGGAACGGCGACACGGUCCAGACUCCUACGGGAGGCAGCAGUGGGGAAUUUUGGAAAAUGGGGGCAACCCUGAUCCAGCCAUGCCGCGUGAGUGAAGAAGGCCUUCGGGUUGUAAAGCUCUUUCGGCCGGGAAGAAAUCGCACGGGCUAAUACCCUGUGUGGAUGACGGUACCGGAAUAAGAAGCACCGGCUAACUACGUGCCAGCCGCCGCCGUAACAC